rnacentral:lncRNA from 1 species
GGCUUGUUAGGAAUACCAAAAAACGCCCCCUUUCACCUAUAUUCCACUUACCGAUUAGGAAAUUGCUGUUUGCAAACUGGCCUGGUACUGGAGGUCCCGGCCGGGGGUAGGGGGUGCAAGGAGAUGCCGAGAAAAAAGGGCCACCGCUCCAGGAAUGUUCUCAUACAAAUGAAAAGAAUGAAAGAAUGUAGAAGGAAGCUGAAUGUUACCUUCUGUUCCGCCUCCUAAUCCCUUGCUGGCAGGUAGGCUCAUUUUCACUCCACACUGAUCUCCACCGAAAUAAUAACUUCACUUUCAGUAUGUAAAUAUACAGUGCUAGAUUUCAAUUUUUUUCUUUUUUUCUUUUUUGGUUAUCAGGAAUAUUAAGUGCAAAGGUGCAAACUGCAACAUUCUAGAUAAUAUCCAAUAGACAUUUCCUCAGGGAAUUUUUUUUUUUAACUACAAUGGCUGCUAAAGAGGAGAAAUGUAAACUCCCAUGCUAUUGGUUAUGUGUUUUGUUUUCCAGGAUGAAAUGGGAUGCAAAAGUGUGAUCAGGGAAAGGGACAGACACUAAAGCCGGACUAACUGAAUUCCCAAGUUUGUAGACUCAGAAGGGAUUCUUGCAAUUCAGUUAUGCCUGGCUGAAGACAGUGCAUUUUCUUCUAUGAUGUAUAUGUCACUUUUCAUUAAUUCUGAGAGGCCUGUUCCUUUAGAAACCAGGGUAAACAGAGUAGUGUAUUGGAUUAGAUCUCUACCGUGAAUAAAUUUAUUUUCUAGCAAGUGUAAAAAAUGAGCAAGGCCAAAACCCCCCAGAGCAGAAAAUGUCACAGUGAUUGCUAAUACAUUACUGCACAGAGAAAGGCCUAAUAAAACCCCUAUUAGGAUGUCAUACCUGCUUACGACUGAAUUCUCCAGAAAGUUUAUUUGAUAUGUCUAAGCCAAUUAUCAAAGUCUUAGUGAUAAGAAGCAGCUCGCUGGGCCUGAAUGUGUCAGAAUAGAAUGACUAAAUUGUGGGAAUUCAUGGGCCUCUGCUUUGAAUAAUUAACUUGGCUCUUUGUAGAAUGCAUACACUUUGGAAACUAAUUUUCUCUUUGCACAAAGCAUUUUGCCCUUGUGCUGCCUUUGAAAAGUAAACUGUUUAGCUGUAAGGUUAUUCCCUUUUUCAUUAUAUUUGGCUUGAGCCUCCUUCCCUGUCUUUCGGCCCGCCCUUCUCCUUGCUCUUUGUCUUGGUGGCAUCAUUCUGACUAGACCCAUGUAGCCCUCAACCGGAAAUAGGACACAC